rnacentral:rRNA from 1 species
GGACCCGCACAAGCGGUGGAGUAUGUGGCUUAAUUCGAUGCAACGCGAAGAACCUUACCUGGGCUUGACAUGCCGUCGUAGAUCUUGAAAGGAUCGUCAGUUCGGCUGGACGUGCACAGGUGCUGCAUGGCUGUCGUCAGCUCGUGUCGUGAGAUGUUCGGUUAAGUCCGGCAACGAGCGCAACCCCCUGUGAACUGUUGCUAACAUUAAGUUGAGGACUCUGUUCAGACUGCCCGUUUCAAACGGGAGGAAGGUGGGGACGACGUCAAGUCAGUAUGGCCCUUACGCCCAGGGCUGCACACGUACUACAAUGCCCAGUACAAUGAGACCGAGACCGUGAGGUG